rnacentral:rRNA from 1 species
AACGUAGGUUCCGAGCGUUAUCCGGAUUUACUGGGCGUAAAGCGCGUUCAGGCGGUUCGGCAAGUCGGGCAUGAAAUCUCUCGGCUCAACCGGGAGAGGUUGUCCGAUACUGUUGGACUUGAGGGCAGUAGAGGGUGGUGGAAUUCUGUGUGGAGCGGUGAAAUGCGCAGAUAUCAGGAGGAACACCGGUGGCGAAGGCGGGUCUCUGGGCCGAUACUGACGCUGAGGAGCGAAAGCGUGGGGAGCGAACAGG